CUCCAGUUGGGUGCAUGUCCUUCUGGGAAAGAUUCAUCGGUAUGGGAUGGGGUCGCGUCCUAUCAGCUUGAUGGCGGGGUAACGGCCCACCAUGGCUUCGACGGGUAGCCGGCCUGAGAGGGCGACCGGCCACAUUGGGACUGAGAUACGGCCCAGACUCCUACGGGAGGCAGCAGUGGGGAAUAUUGCACAAUGGGCGCAAGCCUGAUGCAGCGACGCCGCGUGCGGGAUGACGGCCUUCGGGUUGUAAACCGCUUUUGACUGGGAGCAAGCCCUUCGGGGUGAGUGUACCUUUCGAAUAAGCACCGGCUAACUACGUGCCAGCAGCCGCGGUAAUACGUAGGGUGCAAGCGUUAUCCGGAAUUAUUGGGCGUAAAGGGCUCGUAGGCGGUUCGUCGCGUCCGGUGUGAAAGUCCAUCGCUUAACGGUGGAUCCGCGCCGGGUACGGGCGGG
rnacentral:rRNA from 1 species